rnacentral:lncRNA from 1 species
AGGGUUUAAUAAAUAAAAUUUAAGGUUUAGAAUCUACAAGAUGAGUGCGAUUGGGGGUUAGGUUUAUGAUUUAAGGAAAAUUAAUUUUUUUACAUAAUUUAAAUAUUUGGGUUUACGGUUUACAUUUGGGUUUAGUGAUUAAGGUUUAGGGUAUAGUAUUUUGUUGGUGGAGGGGUAAGGUUGGGUUUAGGGUUUAUGAUUUAAGAAAAACUAAUUUUUUUACAUAAUUUAAAUAUUUGAGUUUAUGGUUUAGUGAUUAAGGUUUAGGGUAUAAUAUUUUGUCGGUGGAGGGGGUAAAGUUGGGAUUAGUAUUAACUUUUUCCAUGAUAUCUACACAUUUCGUAAUUUUAAAUAUUUGGGUUUAUGGUUUACAUUUAGGGUUUAGUGAUUAUGGUUUAGGGUUUAGUAAUUAAGGUUUAGUAUUUUAAUAUCAGAAAAUAAUUUAUAGAUUGUAUUUGGGUUUAUAGUUUCCGUAUUAGGAUUUACAUUUACUAAAUAGAGGUUUGAGUAUAUUAUGUAGUUGUUGUGGUUGGCUAUGUAUAAUUGCCAACGGGAUACGAUGUCAUAGAGAUAAAAUAGUAUAUCUAGAACCGAGAUAGAAUAGUAUACACGC